CACAACCGCUGAUCAUGGAUCGAGUCAGCCAUCUUGGAGAGGCGCACUAGUUACGACUUCACGCACGCACGGUAUCGACGGCUGCCGCCAGAUGGAUUUUCGCCUCUUCGCCUCGCGAUCGCCGGAACCAGUUGAACAACGGCGGGCAAGCGAUGGCCACCGAGCAUGCGCCAUGCCGUCGCUACUACUUGAGCCGGCGACUCCCCAUCAACGAGACGAGAAGCUGAUUCUAGACAAGGAUAUUGUAGGUAACCUGAAGCUAGCCGAUGGGAAGAAAUCACGGUCACGACGGUUGGCACAAAGAACACUCAUCCUUUAGACCUCACAACCGUGCCAACAACCGCUGUUGCGGUGCAACCACAUUUUUUCAUGACUUUUUCUGAAACAAAUGGCAAAAUAUGUGGCAUAUUUCAUUGAAUAAGGAGAAGAGGUUUAAGUAUAAACGAACACUAACCAUAAAGGAAUCACUCUCUCGGGAUUAUGACUCUAAGGCAUUUCUCCGUGACUUGCUCGA